CCUACGGGAGGCAGCAGUGAGGAAUAUUGGUCAAUGGGCGCAAGCCUGAACCAGCAAUGCCGCGUGUGGGACGACAGGGCUUCGCCUUGUAAACCACUGUCGGAUGGGACGAAAAGAGGUAGGAACCUCCGGGACGGUACCAUCAAAGGAAGGGUCGGCUAACUACGUG
rnacentral:rRNA from 1 species